rnacentral:tRNA from 1 species
GGGGAAGUGCUGGAACUGGCAGACAGGCAUGACUUAGGAUCAUGUGCCUCCGGGCGUAAGGGUUCGAGCCCCUUCUUCCCCA